rnacentral:rRNA from 1 species
AUGAUUGAGACGGUUGCCUAUUUGAAAGAUAUACAGAAGACAGAUCCAGAAUUCUUCUACAAGGUCAAGUAUGAUGCAGAAGACAAGGUUGAGAAUAUACUCUAGGUUGAUGGACCAGCACGAAAAGCCUACAAAGAAGCCUAUCAUGAUUGCAUAUGCUUUGACACGACAUACAUGACUAACAUGUAUAACAUGCCGUUUUCUCCAUUCAUUGGGAUAAAUCGUCAUGGGCAGACGUUCAUGUUGGGGUGUGGCUUUGUUAGGCAGGAGUUAGAGACAAGUUUUGAUUGGUUGUUUGGUACAUUCCUUGAAGCAAUGGAUGGUCUAGCACCAGACAACAUAAUCACUGACCAAGAUUGGGCGAUGGCACAAUCCAUUGAAAACAUUUUCCCUACUUCUGUGCAUCGUCGAUGUCGGUGGCACAUAAUGAAGAAAGCUCAGGAAAAACUUGGCGGCUUAGUUGGAAGGAACCCAGGAUUGUCAAAAGAUUUCAAUGAUAUAGUUGACUUUAGCUUCAUAGGAGAAUUUGAGACAAAAUGGACAAGCUUCAAGGAUAAGUGGCCUUUUAUUGCUGGAACCCACUUUGAUAAGAUGUAUGAGUACCGGGCAACAUGGGGGCCGUGUUACUUCAAACACCAUUUUUUUCCUUCUUGUAGUCUACCCAGCGAGGCGAAGGUUUUAAUGCAGUUCUUAAGCGUUAUGUGA